AGUUCAUCCAAUUUGUCAACUUUCCGGAUAUUUGGGAGUCUUCUCCUUACCUCUAGAAAUAUGUUAGGACGAUCUGGAUUGCUGAUAAUAAGAGUUGUUUCCCUAUUGUUCAAUAUUACUUCUUAUUCCUUGAGUGCCUUCGGUGUAGCGGUUUCUGUAAGAGCAAGGUGUCCUGCUGUUUCAAAAAGGCAUGUUAAUUCACCCAACUUCAUAAACUCUGGUCUAAAGCUUUCACCCCUACAAAGAAAUAAGGAAAAAUUUACAGGGC
rnacentral:lncRNA from 1 species